CCUACGGGUGGCUGCAGUGGGGAAUAUUGCACAAUGGGCGCAAGCCUGAUGCAGCCACGCCGCGUGUGUGAAGAAGGCCUUCGGGUUGUAAAGCACUUUCAGCGGGGAGGAAGGCGUUAAGGUUAAUAACCUUGGCGAUUGACGUUACCCGCAGAAGAAGCACCGGCUAACUCCGUGCCAGCAGCCGCGGUAAUACGGAGGGUGCAAGCGUUAAUCGGAAUUACUGGGCGUAAAGCGCACGCAGGCGGUCUGUCAAGUCGGAUGUGAAAUCCCCGGGCUCAACCUGGGAACUGCAUUCGAAACUGGCAGGCUAGAGUCUUGUAGAGGGGGGUAGAAUUCCAGGUGUAGCGGUGAAAUGCGUAGAGAUCUGGAGGAAUACCGGUGGCGAAGGCGGCCCCCUGGACAAAGACUGACGCUCAGGUGCGAAAGCGUGGGGAGCAAACAGGAUUAGAUACCCGGGUAGUC
rnacentral:rRNA from 1 species